rnacentral:lncRNA from 1 species
UAGUUGCAACAAUAAGAUCAAACAGAGUUUGUCAAAGUUUUUCUUUCUCUCUCAGUUUGUCAACCGAGUUGCUUGAGGACAAGCAAGGUUUUAAGCUUCGGGGAGUUGAUACGUCUCCAUCGUAUCUACUUUUCCAAACUCUUUUGCCCUUGUUUUGGACUCUAAUUUGCAUGAUUUGAAUGGAACUAACCUGGACUGACGCUGUUUUUAGCAGAAUUGCCUUGGU